rnacentral:lncRNA from 1 species
CCAUACGUGCAGCAUUCAGAACUGGUAUCAGGUAAACCCCAUUGGUUUCCCUUUGCCCAUCUGAGGUGGUAUCUCAGGAGGUUUUGCAAGACCCUAGAGAAAGAGACAUGAUAAAUAGUAUUUUAAAUGACAAUUUGGAUGGUGCCAAGUAGUUCAAACCACCAUCACAAUAGAAAACCCUUCUUUGAUAAAACAUGUUAGAGGAACGCAUAGAACUUUAAAAUCAAAGCAUUGAAGAAAACUUAGAACUUGUGCCCAAGUAAUCACACCUCCCAAGAAUCCCAUUUAAAUUAUUUCUGAUAGACAAGUAAUCCAGUUUUGGGGGUGAAGAGCUGUCUUCGCAUACAUUCUCUAGUUAAAGCUCUCAUUUUUAAUUCAUCCAUUUUAAAAGGAUGCUGUUCUGGUUUCUCUGAUCAUCAAUUUUAUGCAUAUCUCCUAAAACACACAUCAUUGACCUUACCAUUAAGAAGAAAAAAAAGCAGCUCAGACGUCUGGUACAAAUGGUCUGGUACCAUUUGUUAUGUCUUGGUGUUGCUGGAUGCUGAUCUGGCAUUCACAACUACAUCUUAAUGUUCUCCUCUCGGACAUAUACAACUUCAUAGAACAUGAAUAAUCAGAUAAGGCUAUUCUGGACCCUGAUGGAUCAAGACAAAAGUCAAGACUACUUGGCAAUCUUGUCUCAAUACAUAGAAAAACACUAGCCUUGUGCAAACCACAAAAAUGACCAAACACCCCAUAUCCUGGCUAACACAUGUGAGUACUGCUUCUUUAUCUGUUAUAGCUUAAUCCUUACUCUAAUUUUCUUUUCCUCUAGAUUAUAUUUAUAAAAAUACUCCAUUUUACCCCUACUUCCCAACAUUCAAUCCAGAGAAAAGCCCAACUCCCUCCCCUAAUUUCCCUAGGCCAAACUCAAAUCCUUUUAAGUUCUAAUAUUCCCUUAUUGAAAUACCUCAUAGUCACUCACUGCAAAGAGCAAUAAACCAACAUUAUGUUCCUGGUGGUCUUUGGCUGAGAUUAAGGUUAAUGUUGUCAACUCCUAAAAUUUCACCACAUCUCCCCUGGCAUAACAUCCUGUCUGGAUAUUUAUCAUGAUUUGGAAGUCCUGCCCUGAUUUCAUUCCAAACUUUACAUCAAACCUCAUUGCCAUGACUAUUUCUCAUGUAACAUUUAUAAAGACCUGCUCAGAACUAAAUUACGUGUAUGUCUAAACUGUGUCCAUUAGUCCUAAAAACAAUCGUGAAAGAGAAUAUAGCGUCAUUUUUAUUUUUCCCUUAGGGAACUGAAUUGCAGAGAGGUGAACUCUCUCUUGCAGGUUCAUGCAGAGAAUAAAUGAAAGAAGCAGGAUUUGUACCAAAGUUUGUGUACAAGCCCUAUUAUGCAAAUAGCAGACUACCUGAUAUUAUUUCACGGUGAUCCAUACUUUCUAGCUCCCAUGAUCCUGCUGCUGCUGUGGAUGUGUUUCACGCAUUGCUAUUUAUUGUCCUUCAGAGUCUAGGUCAAAAUGCUGACUUUUCCGUGAUAUCUUCUCUGAAGCAUUCAUUCACUUGCUCAUUUACUUAAUCGAAAUUUGUUAGGCCUUACCUAUAUUUACACUAGAGUAAAACUUCAUGAAAGUAGGGCUAUACUUUUCCAGUGAAAUUAGUAAGAUGAAGGGCAAGUUUGGGGGAGGAAGCGUGUCAUGAUGAAGACCAUCUCAAAAAAAUAGUUAAGUACUAUUCGUAUAGAGGUUGUAAUUAUUACUAUGGCUAAUCACUUCUGUACAUUUUGUAUAUUUAAUCCUUCUCCAGAUCUAUACCACUUGCCCAGGAACAUAUUUAUUAUUCAUAGGUUUCCUUACAAAUAACAGGUGAAUGUUGGCAUUUGUAGCUGAAGGUUCUAGUAGCCUACUCCAUGCUUGGCCAGCCACUAACAGUGCUCCUGGCUGAGUCAGUCUCACACAGUUUGUGCUGGCUGUACCAUGACCCUCUGCUUCAUCCCUCACCAAGCCAACUGGCCGUGCCCAUCAGCUUCUGCCAUAGAGUCCCUUUCCACUGGUACAUAGUCCUUUGGGUGGCUCCCUUGUUCCCAAAUAGGUGUUCAUCCCAAGAGGAACCCUGCAGUGGCUCAGGGAGGCAAAUUAAACCUCCAUGCUUCCCACGGCCUCCCCCUUGCUCCAGGUGUAUGUGGCAUGGCCUGGGGGGGAUGGUAACUAUCAGGGUUCUAAAUGGAAAAUGAGGAGAAAGAGCAUCCUUCAUCCCCAGUAUGGUACCCAAUUCAAUAAGGCAAGUUAAGUGCAGACAGCCCUCCCAUGACCACCCCUGCCUACAUACACAUGUGAAGCAAGGUUAUCAUUGCAUGCAAGGAAUGUGACAACCCAGGAGACCAAGGACUGGAAGGAGAAGAGAACUCAACUGAGGAACAUACAUUUUCUCCACUGCCCUGAGAUCAAAUAACCUAUACCCCCAGACACUGGGCCAUUUUAGAGGGCAUUUUAUUCCAUACAACCUUCUUACUGACUAUUAAACUAAAGCGGUCAGAAGAGAACUUCCAUAGACUUUCAAAAUGAAAUCUACCCCACUCACUAGCAUCUAUACCCUGAUAAGGUGUGUUCGCUUCAGGUAAUACAUAUGAACUCUUUGUAAAGACAGCCUCUCUAUGUGUUUAUGAGAUCCUGCUCAUCUUCUCCAGGACCAUCAUUCCCUCAUUCCCUCUCAUUUCUUCUCUGCUUCCUACUUUUCAGCAUUUUUUUUCUUUUUUUGCAUAUCUGCACAAAUGCAAAUCUUUUAUUUUGCAUUUUAUUAUACAAGGGCAUACAUAUUAAAUGCAUUUUUUGGAAAAUCUUUUUGUUCCUUAAGAAUAUUUUAACAUCUGGGAUGACAUUUAUAUUUUUCUUUCUUUCUUUCUUUCUUUCUUUUUUUUUUUAUUAAAGUAUAGUUGAUUUACAGAGUUCCUGUUGUGGUGCAGUGGACACGAAUCCAACUAGCAACCAUGAGGUUGCGGAUUCAAUCCCUGGCCUCACUCAGUGGGUUAAGGAUCUGGCAUUGCUGUGGCUGUGGCGUAGGCUGGCAAUUAGACCCCUAGCCUGGAAGCCUCCAUAUGCCGCGGGCACAGCCCAAAAAAACAAAAUGAAUAAAUAAAUAAAUAGUCUAGUUGAUUUACGAGCAUUUU